AUGAAAGACAUCCUCGACCUGUUGACAGAUGACAGGAUUGUUUACUAUGGCUUAGUGGCCAUUAGCUGUGUACUUCUGUUCAAUUUGUUUGUAUGGGGAUGUUUGAGUUUCAUCAUUAUUAUUAUUGCGAUCGGUUGUGGAUAUUACAUGUUUGAUUAUGCCUUUAAGAACCAAAAUUUAAAUACCACCCCUGGAUCAGAGAAUAUAUUUGAUAAGACUAAAAUAUUUAAGUGUAAUAAUUGCAAAAACUGUAUUUCAUGUGACAUACAUUUAAAAUGUCUAAAUCAAGAAACACCAUGGAAAGGAUUAUUAAUACCAGAACAAAUUGAUUCUUCAAUAGAUAAAUUAUUAUCAAAAAUUAUAAAGGUAUAUAUAGAAAGUUGGUAUAAUAAUAUUUCAAACGAUCCACAUUUUAUAAAAGAAAUUAAGCAAGUUAUACGAUUUGCAACAAGUGCAUUGCUUAAAAGAUUAUUACAAUUGAAUUUAGAAGGUAUUGUGCUGCAUAAAGUAAUUCCAAUAUGUUUAUCUCAUAUAAGGCACUGCCAAAAAAUGGAAAAGGGUGAAAAAAUUGCAUAUCAUUAUGCCAUCAGUAAUCGUAAAGUUGAGAUUAUGUACCUUAAAAAAGUAUCUUCAAGUUUACUGCCAUUCAUAAUUCGACAAACUGAUCUUCAGUGCGCGAUAUUUUAUACUUUACUGCGAGAACUUCUUUCACUUUGGGUAUUGUUGCCAAUAUCUGAUGUAAUAUGUAACCCAACCAACAUUGCUUUUACUUGGUCAAAAUUAUCCAAAUCAUCAAUUAUUUCAACAACUACGACAUGUAAAGAUGAACAAGUUGAAUUUUUAUCAAAGUUUAUAGCUGAAAAUCAAAAUGAUCCUGUACAACUUGAAAUGCGUAGUAUAUUUAAAGAUUCGACUAUAUUAUCAGCAUUUACAGUUUUUUUGAAACGAAAAGGUGCUGUACAUUUGCUACAAUUUUGUUUAGAUGUUGAUCAGUUUAACAAGCGCAUGUUAAGACCUGAAAUAUCAUCUCAAGAACUUGACAUGCUCUAUCGAGAUGCUUGGGAUAUAUUUUCUGUGUAUUUUAGUUCUCAUUCACCAGAUUGUAUAAGUUUUGAUCCUGAGUUGGUAAGUCAGCUAAGAAAAGUUUUAUCCAAGGAUGUUAUUAAACUCCAAAAUUCAAAGCCACUGUAUCAAGCUUACGAACAAACUUAUUCUAUCUUACAAAAUAGUUACUGGAUAGAGUUUCAUAAUUCUGAUGAAUAUUUUUCUUGGAUAUGUGGACCACGCAAUGUUCCAGAGACUGAUUCAUCACAAGAAUCAUUGUCAAAUAAUGAAAAAAAAAAUCAUGCUUCUAAGCUUAGUCGCAAAUUAAAUAGGCUUAAAGGAGCUAUGAAGUCAAGUACAAUAUAUGAUGGUCAAUUUGAUUCUUUAUCUUCUGAAUGUGAUCCAGAGUAUGGAGAAGAUCUAUCUAUUGAUAAUGAAAUCAUUAAUAGUGAAAGAGAUUUAAGCACAUGGAAGGUAACUGAUGUAACAUCAGCUAUGAAGUUAGAAUCUGGAUCCAACGGUGGUCAAUCAUUAGUAUUUUUCAUUACAGUAGAGACAAUUAAAAAUGAUUCAAUUAAACAAUGGUGUGUAGAAAGAAGACUUGCUGACUUUUACACCUUAAAAUCAAAACUCACUGAAUUUCAUGGAGUAUUUGUGGAUGCUCGAUUACCUUCAAGAAGAAUUUUAUUACAAAAAACAGAAAAUAAUGACAUAUAUUUGCAAUUUCUCAAUCAACUGUUACAGAAACCUGAGCUUAGGGGAUCUGACUUAUUGCAUAUGUUUUUAACCUCCAUAGACAAUUUUGAAGAUUCAGAAUCAGCCAUUGGAAGAUUGUUAAGGAAAUCUAUGCCAAUGGCUUUAAGAAAAGAAAGGGGACAAAAUUUAGAAUCAUUCAUUUCUGUUUUUAUGGCUUCGAUUGAAACUAAAUUAAAACAAAGGUAUGAGUGGAAAGAUUUAAGUGAACAUCCUCCUGAAAGAAAAUUUAAAAUUGCUGAGAAUCCGAUUUUUGGUAAUAACUUAAAUAUAAUUAAAGAUGAAACCCAAUCAACAUUAGAAGAAAUAUCAGAUCAAAUACAAUUUCCCUGUACUCCAAUUAACUGCAUCAUUUUUUUUGGAGUUUAUGUGUACAAUAUGUCAAAUGCUGUUGUCCGAUUAAUUUUGGCAGUACAAUCAAUAUGUGGUAAUAUUAUUGAUUCUAUUAUACAGCGCUACAUCAGUCUUCGUAUUGUAAGAUCAAUAACACCUUCCAAAAUUUCAACCUUAAUCGAACUGUUAGAAAAUCUUCUAUUUCCCGGUGAUGAUGCGCCAAAAAAGACUGAUCAUCAAAUUUCAGUUGAACAUUUAAAACUAUUGAAUAAUUCAGUUUUUUUUCCACUGUAUAUGUGUUUGUUUCAAUGUACACAAAAUUCAGUGAUGAAUAAACAAUUAUUCUACAGGCUUUUAGAUGUUUUACUAGCAGAAAUGUUUCCAGAACUACGAACACAACUUAACGAACAAUUAUGAUGAUGAAACUUCAUUGCUGUGAUAAUAUUGAGUGAUACAUUCCUUAAUGUCAAAAUAAGUUUGUUCAAUUAAAGUACUGUUUUCAAAUUGCAACUAGUCGUCGCAGCUCGUCACUGCGGCCAUUCACAGCUUAGAAAUCAUACGUUUAGUCAAAUAUUAGUCUUGAAUAAUUGUAUUAAAUACUAUAAAUUCAUAUUUAUAUGUAUUACAUACUCUAAGUUAUAGAACAAUUUUGACAAAAUAUAUUAAAACACAAUAUUAACUUUAGAAAAAAAACUUAACCAAUAAAACAUAAAUAUGUAUUAAUAUAUUUUUUUACUGCUCACAAUAUUACUAAGAUGUGUAUUAUAGAAUAAAAUAUCUUUUUAAAUAAGUAUUUCUUACGUAAAAUAUAAACCAUGAUUUUGGACAUAUCUAAAAUGUGAAAAAUAU